rnacentral:misc_RNA from 1 species
ACCAAUGAUUGGGAACCAGUUGAGGUUGAUAGAUCUCCUGGUUGCUAAAAUCAAAUACCCAUCUUUGUGCACCUUUUUUAUGUCUCCUGGUGGUCGCAAGAGAAGUCUCUUAUUUGGAGGAUCUCUUCUAGUUCAUUUUGAUCCUCGGACAAAUGAAUGAAGCCACCAAAUGGUUGCUAUAACACACCUUUUUUCGCCGUCCAAAAUAUCUGUCUAACAUUGAUUUGUGUAAAAUACAUAAAA